GACGGAGGGUGCUAGCGUUGUUCGGAAUUACUGGGCGUAAAGGGCGCGUAGGCGGCCCGUUCCGUCGGAUGUGAAAGCCCGGGGCUCAACCCCGGAACGGCAUCCGAGACGAACGGGCUCGAGACCGGGAGAGGAGGGUGGAAUAGCCAGUGUAGAGGUGAAAUUCGUAGAUAUUGGCUGGAACACCGGUGGCGAAAGCGGCUCUCUGGCCCGGUUCUGACGCUGAGGCGCGAAAGCGUGGGGAGCAAACAGG
rnacentral:rRNA from 1 species